AUUUGUUUUCUUGAUACGAGAGUUGAGUUAAAAAAUAGUUCCGGUCAGUUGAAUAACAUGGCUGCUGGGAGGGGGGCCGUUUUCUCAUUAUGCCCCCCCCCCCUUUUGAAGAAGAGGGGGUAUAUUGUUUUGCUCAUGUCGGUCCGUCCACCAGAUGGUUUCCAGAUGAUAACUCAAGAGCGCUUAUGCCAAGGAUCAUGAAACUUCAUAGGUACAUUGAUCAUGACUCGCAGAUGACCCCUAUUGAUUUUCAGGUCACUAGGUCAAAGGUCACGAUGACCCGAAAUAGUAAAAUGGUUUCUGGAUGAUAACUCAAGAACGCUUAUGCCUAGGAUCAUGAAACUUCAUAGAUACAUUGAUCAUGACUUGCAGAUGACCCCUAUUGAUUUUCAGGUCACUAGGUCAAAGGUCAAGGUCACGGUGACCCAAAGCAGUAAAAUGAUUUCCGGAUGAUAACUCAAGAACGCUUAUGCCUAGGAUCAUGAAACUUCAUAGAUACAUUGAUCAUGACUCGCAGAUAACCCCUAUUGAUUUUCAGGUCACUAGGUCAAAGGUCAAGGUCAUGAUGACCCGAAAUAGUAAAAUGGUUUCCGGAUGAUAACUCAAGAACGCUUAGGCCUAGGAUCAUGAAACUUCAUAGGUACAUUGAUCAUGACUCGUAGAUGACCCCUAUUGAUUUUCAGGUCAAAGGUCAAGGUUAGGUGACCCGAAAUAAUAAAAUGGUUUCCAGAUGAUAACUCAAGAACUUUUAUGCCUAGGAUCAUGAAACUUCAUAGGUACAUUGAUCAUGACUCGAAGAUGACCCCUAUUGAUUUUCAGGUCACUAGGUCAAAGGUCAAGGUCACGGUGACCUGAAAUAGUAAAAUGGUUUCUGGAUGAUAACUCAAGAACGCUUAUGCCUAGGAUCAUGAAACUUCAUAGGUACAAUGAUCAUGACUCGCAGAUGACCCCUAUUGAUUAUCAGGUCACUAGGUCAAAGGUCAAGGUCACAGUGCCAAAAAACGUCGCACAAUAGCUGUCAAGGUCACGGUGACUCAACUUAGAAAAAUGGUUUCCGGAUGAUAACUCAAGAGUGCUUACGCCUAUGAUCAUGAUACUUCAUAGGUACAUUGAUCAUGGCUCGCAGAUGAAAUAAUGAUGAAACUUGACCAGGAUGUUUGUCCUGACAAUAUCUAGGUCAAGUUUGACAUUUGGUUAAGAUUGAAUGAACCGACUCCUCAGGUGAGCGAACUAGGGCCAUCUUGGCCCUCUUGUUUCUAUAAAGUAAUAAUUUUAAUGACGUUUUAUGGCAGGUUUUUAACCAAGGUUGUAAUUAAUUUAAGUUUUGGGGACUUUACUCUUAUUAUAUAUAUUUAAACUGUAUGUAGGAUGC